rnacentral:rRNA from 1 species
CCGGACCGGCGCACGGGUGAGUAACGCGUAUGCAACUUACCUAUCAGAGGGGGAUAACCCGGCGAAAGUCGGACUAAUACCGCAUGAAGCAGGGGCCCCGCAUGGGGAUAUUUGCUAAAGAUUCAUCGCUGAUAGAUAGGCAUGCGUUCCAUUAGGCAGUUGGCGGGGUAACGGCCCACCAAACCGACGAUGGAUAGGGGUUCUGAGAGGAAGGUCCCCCACAUUGGAACUGAGACACGGUCCAA